GGCUGUGUAGUGUAGCGGUUAUCACUUCAGAUUCUGAUGAUGUAUUAAGCUCUUUGAAUUCUGGCGACCCCGGUUCGAUUCCGGGCACGGCCU